UCACCUACACCAGUAAUUUGAUGUUGGGUU
rnacentral:piRNA from 1 species